rnacentral:lncRNA from 1 species
GAGAAAUCUGAUUUGCUUAUGUCACCAGGCGCCCUCUUUGUUGAGGGCACCGGAACUUCCGUGAAGUUCUUGGAUGGACCCUGUAAAACAGAGUCUGACGCCCCCCAGCGUCAGGAUGUCUUUACAGUAUUUUUAUACGCGGUCCAAACUCAUUUCUUCAGCGUUUUAAGGACUGAAUGAUCUAGUUCUUCGCAACUACAUUUUCUCCUUUCCACGAGGUGGAGGCUGAGAAUUGCCACAGAGAAGCCCCACGUUUGCCAAACGCUUACUGCUGCGCUCACAAAUUUCCUGUGGGGUAAGUAGAUAUAGGUCGAAACAAGCUGGUUGAUUAUCUCACUUAGCUUUGCUGGCCUUAUGUCCAGUUGAUAUUCGAACUCAAAAACAAAAAAUUCUAUUUUUGACUGCAACCUUCGGGAAAUAACUUUUAUUUUUAGGUUUCCUUUCACUAUUUGUAAAAUGAGGGAAAGGCUAGAUGACAUUCCUUGACUUACAAACCACUAUUCCCAGAUAGUUCUAGGUCCACAGGUUUUGAGAAUUGUAACAGGUGUCAGAGUUCACAAUAACUUGGCAGGAAGCCAUAUUUUUCACAGAACACUCUGCAGUAAACUCAGACCUCUUGGUGUAUUUACAUUCUAAAAAUAGUGUUCAGGGCAGGGGUUGUGUUUGGUCUCAGUGAUAGAGCACUUGCUUAGCAUGUGUGAGGCACUGGGUUCGAUUCUCAGCACCAAAUUGUGGUAUAUAUGUGUAUUAAGAAUUGUAAUGCAAAAAAAAAAAAAAAAGCACAUGUAUAAUGGCAUAAAAUAAAGUUCAUUGAUAACUAAAAAAAUUUUAAAAAUAGUGUUUGUACAUAAUAUUAAGAAUACAGUUUUUAAGUGCAGACUUAUCUUCUACAUAAGUUCAAAGACUUCCGAGCAGACAAGUUUUUAAUGGACCAAAAUGAUCAUGUCUUUUUUUUCUCUUGAGGACACUAUUCAGGCAUGGUAUUCCCCCAAUGCAUUUCAUAUAAGAUGUUAUUUUGUCCAAUGCAUCUACCUUCAUUUUAGAACAAUUAAAACCAGCUUUAAGAUGACUGAAAAACAAACAAUCCUGACAUCAUCUACAUGGAUUUUUUUCCUCUGUGUAUUAAUGCUCCACUUAUGAGCUCAACCUGGGAGCAAUACCUUUUGAGAACUGUGAGUGCUGAAAAUUUCACAGUAUUGAAGAGACUACAAAAAAUCAAAUUGAAGAAAGGUGUUUAAAUGUAUCACUGCAUCUAAUUAUAAAAGUUCAUCAUUGAUUUAGUUUUAGCCAUCAUGUAGAAAUUCCUUGACAAAUUCUGAUUGGUAGUCUAGAGUUGGUUUCUUCACCUUGACUUUUAGGUCCUCUUUGCAUCCCAUUCUAUGCAAGGAGUAGGAAACAGUACCAAUCUUUAAGCCCUCAAAUCUUCCUGGAGUGAGGGAGCAAGCCAUUCUUAUGGGAUUUAGAAUAGUGGCAAUUUUGAGGAAAGAGAUGGGAUUGAUUUUGAGAAAAAAUGAGAGCAGAUUUAGGACCCAUUGAAAGUGGGGAUAUUAAAGAAAGAGAGGGUGAGGAUGAGUGAUAGAUUUUGGAUUUAUGCAACUGGGUGUUUUUUGAGGCAAUGCAAUGAAAUAGGGGACACAGGAAAAACAUAACAUGUUUAGGGGAGUCAAUAGAUUCUGUUUUCAGUUUCAUAAUGAGAUGUAUCUAAGAUACUGAUUAAGAAAGGCCAAAUAGUCAGCUUAAUCUCCAGUCUGGGGUUCUUGGGAGAGGUUGAUGUCUACUUAGAAUACAAACAGAGGCCCAUGAACAAUAGUUUUGAGAAUCAUAAAAAAUACCUAAAAAUGAGAUCUAAACAGAGUCUAUAUUACAGGGGUUUUAAUCUUUUUGGGGGUAUGUGAUAUUACAAACCCCUUUGAGAAAAUACUGAAAGUGAUUCUAUUUUUCCUCUUGGAAAAAUAUACACUCAGAAUCUGAAGAUUUUGCAUACUUUUUCAGGGGUUCACAUAUUUUACUGAAGUUCAUCCAUAGACAUCUCUCAGAUUAAGAGCCUCAGGUGUAGAAGGUCAGAACCCUGGGGAGCACAAGAAUUUGAGGGGCAAGAAGCAGAGGUAAAUAGGAGUAGCCAGAGGGGUUAGGAAAGUGAAUGAUCCUAUUUUGGGUGUGAUGGUGCACACUUGUAAUCCUAGCAAUUUGGGAGCUGAGGCAGGAAUAUCAAGGCCAGCCUCAGCAACUUAGUGAGGACCUGUCUCAAAAUAAAAAGGGUUGGGGAUGUAGCUAAGUGGUAGAGUGCCUCUAGGUUCAACCUUCAUUACUAUAAAAGAGAAAAAAAACAAAAAAUUGAACUACUCUUAUCCCAAGGCCAUAGGGCACCCUGACCAUGUCCUUUAUAUGCCCCUGUUCUCUCCCAUCCUUCUUCCAGCUGUACCCUUUCUCACAGGGAGAUGAGCCCCAGGACCAAGGGAAUAUACCACCAGGAUCAUGGGCAAUCCCCUGUAAUCAAAGCUCUAUGUCAUAGGCUCCUGGAAUUUUCUAACCAAUUGAUCUAAGCCUGUGUCAAGGGCCUUACUUGGGCCUCAGCCUCUGGUUGUCCUUCCAAGGGCCAAUCCUUUGUCUAAGAUAGUGGCUGGGGUAGGGGUGCAGGAAGCUUGAAUAGCAGGCUGGGUGUCUUGUUGCUUGUGAAAGAGGCACAAAACAAGGUUGGGAGGCCUAAGGACCACUGUUCAUGUGCCAUAAUUCAGUGUGAAACCCUAGGAGAUGGUAAGUUUUAACCAUAAAUUUUCAAAUGGUACACAUAGAGUAUAUAGGACUCAGUUUAUAUUCUUGCCCCCAGGUUUUCCCAGUAUAAGAGAUGGGUCUGCAGAAAAUGAUGGCAUAGAAUUCCAAGAAAGGAGACUUUUAGGAAGGAAAUGGCCAUUGUCAGUGCUAUAAAGCAGUGCUUCUUAAAGUCUGGUCCCUGGACCAGCAGCAUCACUAUUACCUGGGAACUCAUUGGAAAUCAUAUGCUUGCCUUUCCUGCGGUGAUGACCUCCCCACGAGAACAUGCCUCUCGCAAAAAAAUCUCCAUCAUCCCUCUCCAGAAGAGAAGAGGAAACACAAGAAGUGGUUCCUGGUGCAGAGCCCCAAUUCCUAUUUCAUGGAUGUGAAGUGCCCAGGAUGCUAUAAAAUCACCACAGUUUUUAACCAUGCACAGAGAAUAGUUUUUUGUGUUGAUCGCUCCACUGUUCUCUGCCAGCCUACAGGAAGAAAAGCAAGACUUACAGAAGGAUGUUCCUUCAGGAGGAAGCAGCACUAAAAGCAUCCUGAAUCAAGAUGAGUGGGAAAACAUACCAAUAAACACGUUUUGGAUAUUAAAAAGAAAAAAAGAAAUCACAUGCUUGGGCCUCAUAUCAUAUCUGUUGAAUAAGAAAUGCAAGAUAAGACUGGACAUUUCUCUGUUCAGCCUCUGUAAUAUCUUUC